rnacentral:lncRNA from 10 species
GUUAAAUCUUCAGUUUUUAUCUUGUGUCUAUUGGAAACAGCCUCCAAAUCCAAAGAGGGCCACUCAGACCAGAUAUUACAACACGGCCUCCCUCGAAUUCUUGGGUUUUCCUAGAUAUUCAGCAGGGUCAUGGAGGCUAGCGUUAUCGUCUUUGUCCUCAAAAUAGAAAUCCGAGAAACCUCCAAGUGGCCCGAAAAUUUAGAGCACUCGCUCGUGGAUACCAUUGUCACUCCAGAAAUGGUCUGAAUUCCUCUUUCCUCUCGAAAUUUAUUUGCUGGGCACCAAACUAGAGCCGGACACCAAACUAGAGCUGAGCCAGACUUAAUUCCUGGGAAAUCGUCCAGGAAAAAGAGCUGCCUGUUCGGGAUCGUUGCUAGGGCUCUAGGACGCAGACUUGUCUAUUUCAACACAUGCAUACCUGAACCAGCUCAACCCUGUUUGCAUCGCCAGUGUGUUCCCUGUCUGAAAAGAACUGGGUGCUGACCUUGUUGAACUUGAGCACCCUUAGGCUGCCCGAGGCGCAGCGAAUGUGUACCAGGAACCGUAGCCGCGCCCGGACAGGAAGAGGCGCCGAAGCCCGGCUGAGUGGAAGUCCUUAGUCUUCCAACAGCCAUAGCGGCGGGAACUGGGAGAGAAAAGGUAUGCACAAAGUCCUUUGUUGGAGAACGGAGACCUCCGAGCUGUUAUUAAAGGACAGCUUUCUCCACCAUCUUCCCAUUCCACCACCAAUGAGGAGAUCACCAGGUCUCAGAAUGGCUCUGAAGACAGAGUAGGCAUUCGGUAAAUAUUUGUGGAGUGACUGUUGAAGACUCGCCAUUAGAGUGUGUUUUCAAACAUUGGGAUUUUGUUUGCCCAGUCUGACUGAUAAACAUAUAUAAAGGAGCAAAAGCCUGCCAAGGUCUACAUUUACAGCAAAACAAAGUGGUUGUAAAGAUUAUAUCAUUUUAUAGAAUACACAGAAUUACAGAUGUGAAAAAUAAAUGGUAAAAAUAAUCCCAGCAAGAAACGAAACUUAGACAUUUCAGAUCUGACAAAGGGUCAUUUUCAAAGGAUGACGAAACCACCGCUCAAUACUUUAAAAAGACAAAAUCAAAGCUCAUUCGAGGGAGAGCUAUAUUGUAAAACACAGUCCCUGAAAACAGAACAGAUGGCUGAUCUUUUUUUCAUUAGGUUGAUAUAAUCUAUGGGAGCAUGGUUACUUGUCAGAGACUGCCAUUGUUUGGUCGGCACUCAUAGGUAUGUUUAUUGGAGUGAGUCCAUCCCUGAUCAGCUCACUUUCCGAAGCCAGGAGCAGACACUGAUUGGUUUUCAAAAGUGUGUUCACAGAAGCGAUUGUUACUGACAGAUUGAACUGAUUGAAAACCAGUUCUGGGCCGGACGCGGUGGCUCACGCCUGUAAUCCCAGCACUUUGGAAGGCCGAGGUGGGCGGAUCACCUGAGGUAGGGAGUUCAAGACCAGCCUGACCAACAUGGAGAAACCUCGCCUCUACUAAAAAUACAAAAUAGCC